rnacentral:tRNA from 1 species
AGAGACUUAGGUUAACACCAGACCAAAAGCCUUCAAAGCUUUAAGCAGGAGUGAAAACCUCCUAGUCCCUG